CACUGAGGCGUGAUGACGAGGCACUACGGUGCUGAAGCAACAAAUGCCCUGCUUCCAGGAAAAGCCUCUAAGCAUCAGGUAACAUCAAAUCGUACCCCAAACCGACACAGGUGGUCAGGUAGAGAAUACCAAGGCGCUUGAGAGAACUCGGGUGAAGGAACUAGGCAAAAUGGUGCCGUAACUUCGGGAGAAGGCACGCUGACACGUAGGUGAAGUGAUUUACUCACGGAGCUGAAGUCAGUCGAAGAUACCAGCUGGCUGCAACUGUUUAUUAAAAACACAGCACUGUGCAAACACGAAAGUGGACGUAUACGGUGUGACGCCUGCCCGGUGCCGGAAGGUUAAUUGAUGGGGUCAGCGCAAGCGAAGCUCCUGAUCGAAGCCCCGGUAAACGGCGGCCGUAACUAUAACGGUCCUAAGGUAGCGAAAUUCCUUGUCGGGUAAGUUCCGACCUGCACGAAUGGCGUAAUGAUGGCCAGGCUGUCUCCACCCGAGACUCAGUGAAAUUGAACUCGCUGUGAAGAUGCAGUGUACCCGCGGCAAGACGGAAAGACCCCGUGAACCUUUACUAUAGCUUGACACUGAACAUUGAGCCUUGAUGUGUAGGAUAGGUGGGAGGCUUUGAAGUGUGGACGCCAGUCUGCAUGGAGCCGACCUUGAAAUACCACCCUUUAAUGUUUGAUGUUCUAACGUGGACCCGUAAUCCGGGUUGCGGACAGUGUCUGGUGGGUAGUUUGACUGGGGCGGUCUCCUCCUAAAGAGUAACGGAGGAGCACGAAGGUUGGCUAAUCCUGGUCGGACAUCAGGAGGUUAGUGCAAUGGCAUAAGCCAGCUUGACUGCGAGCGUGACGGCGCGAGCAGGUGCGAAAGCAGGUCAUAGUGAUCCGGUGGUUCUGAAUGGAAGGGCCAUCGCUCAACGGAUAAAAGGUACUCCGGGGAUAACAGGCUGAUACCGCCCAAGAGUUCAUAUCGACGGCGGUGUUUGGCACCUCGAUGUCGGCUCAUCACAUCCUGGGGCUGAAGUAGGUCCCAAGGGUAUGGCUGUUCGCCAUUUAAAGUGGUACGCGAGCUGGGUUUAGAACGUCGUGAGACAGUUCGGUCCCUAUCUGCCGUGGGCGCUGGAGAACUGAGGGGGGCUGCUCCUAGUACGAGAGGACCGGAGUGGACGCAUCACUGGUGUUCGGGUUGUCAUGCCAAUGGCACUGCCCGGUAGCUAAAUGCGGAAGAGAUAAGUGCUGAAAGCAUCUAAGCACGAAACUUGCCCCGAGAUGAGUUCUCCCUGAGACUUUAGGUCUCCUGAAGGAACGUUGAAGACGACGACGUUGAUAGGCCGGGUGUGUAAGCGCAGCGAUGCGUUGAGCUAACCGGUACUAAUGAACCGUGAGGCUUAACCUUACAACGCCGAAG
rnacentral:rRNA from 1 species